rnacentral:rRNA from 1 species
UAUGUGAUCGUCUCUCGCAUAUCAAUAAGCGGAGGAAAAGAAACUAACAAGGAUUCCCCUAGUAACGGCGAGUGAAGCGGGAAGAGCUCAAAUUUGAAAUCUUAAAGGGUUUCCCUUUACGAAUUGUAGUUUAAAGAAGUGUUUUCUGUUGAGGUUUUGGUAAAAGUUCUUUGGAAUAGGACAUCAUAGAGGGUGAGAAUCCCGUAUUUGACCUUUACUUUCAACUUUGUGAUACACUUUCAAAGAGUCGGAUUGUUUGGGAAUGCAGUCCAAAAUGGGUGGUAAAUUUCAUCUAAAGCUAAAUAUAGGCGAGAGACCGAUAGCGAACAAGUACCGUGAGGGAAAGAUGAAAAGAACUUUGAAAAGAGAGUUAAACAGUACGUGAAAUUGUCAAAAGGGAAGCGUUUGACACCAGUGUUGUUUUUCUGAAAAUCAAUUAAAGAACUGUUUAUGCUAAGCUGUUUAGACUUUAUCAGCUAUCUGUUUAGUUUUGAGCUUUUCUUUAAUGCACUUUUCAGUUAACAAGUCAACAUCAAUUUCUUUUGCUGUAAAAAAGCUUGAGGAAGGUGGCUUGAGAUUCGUCUUAAGUGUUUAUAGCCUCUUGCCUAUGCAGUCGGAGAGAUUGAGGUCUGCAGCGUAGAUCCUUCGGGGCUAAAUGCAUUUGUGCUAAGUUAUAGCAUUUUAUAGACAACUUGUUGACUAUGAUUUGUCUUGUAGCUUACUCGCUUAUGUUAUUUUACCUACGCUUAGGAUGUUGAGCGCAUGUCUCUCUCU